rnacentral:rRNA from 2 species
UGCAGAAUCCCGUGAACCAUCGAGUUUUUGAACGCAAGUUGCGCCCGAAGCCGUCAGGCCGAGGGCACGCCUGCCUGGGUGUCACGC